AUUCAUUGAAACAAAAGAAAAAAAAAAAAAAACAAACCCAAAGGAAGUUCUGAUUUCUACGUUAGAGAGAGAGAGAGAGAGAGAGAGAGAGAGAGAGAGAGCAGCGUGGAAGAAGAAGGGGAAAAGAAGAAGAAAUUGGGGUUAGGUUGAUUGAAGCUCAAUUAGGUAACAAGCCGGUCAAAUAGGAGGUGCCGAAACCGUAAGUUUGGUGUAUAACUCGGUCGAUGCAAAGGUAGCAGGUUGCGUAGAGUGGGUCCACUACCGGUCAACGUGUUGAGAAGUGUUUGGGCUAGCGUCAGAUGAUGUGGAUAAGCGAGUUGGUUGUAGGUAGUGAACUAAAAAGUUAAUUUAUAUAAGUAAAAAAUAUGUUGUUGGUGGAUGUGUUGAAGUUUAGAAUUUUUAAAGUAUUGUAAAACUAUAUUGUGAUUUAGUUGUGCGAGGUCCUGGUUGGUUGGUCGAUACGUCGACUCAUUUUUAUGUUAAGGUGAUAAGUCUUCCGCUGGGUGUUAUUCUGA